GUUGAAUCACCGGUUCUCAUACGAUCACCGAAGUUAAGCAACGCCUGAUCAGUACCUAGGUGGGUGACUGCUCAGGAACACCAGGAUGUG